AAGACUAUGCUUUCAGGGAUCAUUUCUAUAGUUUCUGACUUGGAAGUUUGAUUUGAAAGUGUAACGUCUCUCUAACUAUGAUGACGAGUUAAGAUGCUUUCUUCUGAGCGUGAAUCGGGUGGUGAGCGACGAGCGAGAUUGUCUGCUCUCUGUCAUUGAUGAACGUUCCUGCUGUGCUUUGCAGUCUGGAAGAAGAAAGCAUGUUCAGAGUGGUU
rnacentral:snoRNA from 1 species